AGUGAACGCUGGCGGUAGGCCUAACACAUGCAAGUCGAACGGCAGCACAGUAAGAGCUUGCUCUUACGGGUGGCGAGUGGCGGACGGGUGAGGAAUACAUCGGAAUCUACUUUUUCGUGGGGGAUAACGUAGGGAAACUUACGCUACUACCUCAUACGACCUCCGGGGAAAAGCAGGGGAUCUUCGGACCUUGCGCGAUUGAAUGAGCCGAUGUCGGAUUAGCUAGUUGGCGGGGUAAAGGCCCACCAAGGCGACGAUCCGUAGCUGGUCGGAGAGGAUGAUCAGCCACACUGGAACUGAGACACGGUCCAGACUCCUACGGGAGGCAGCAGUGGGGAAUAUUGGACAAUGGGCGCAAGCCUGAUCCAGCCAUACCGCGUGGGUGAAGAAGGCCUUCGGGUUGUAAAGCCCUUUUGUUGGGAAAGAAAAGCAGCAGGUUAAUACCCCGCUGUUCUGACGGUACCCAAAGAAUAAGCACCGGCUAACUUCGUG
rnacentral:rRNA from 1 species